rnacentral:lncRNA from 1 species
AUCACUCUCCCUCACGUUUCCUAUCUCCCACACGUUUCCACUCCCUACACGUUUCCUCUCUCACUAAAGGCACUCACCUCACUAUACAGUACUCUCUCCCUCUCCUUCUUCCAAGGACACACACACGCAACUCUAUUCAUUUCUCUCUGCUGGAAAUCACCUUUCAUAACUCUCUCUCAGGCUCACACACUCAAUCCUCACAAAUAUCUCUUCUCUCUCUACACACUAAAAAAAACAGAAAAAGAAAACUAAAAAGGAGGACAAUAUAAAAUCCAUUUUCUCUCUCACCCUCCGAUCACUCUCAUUUUCUCAUACCUUUAUCAACAAAAUGAAGAAAAGGGUUAAAUAGUAAAUACAUCAAAAGAUCCUUUCCUAUUUUCCACCUUCUCUUCCAUAGAGAAAGAAAAAAACUGGAAAGAGAUUUAGAUGGAUGAAAAAAGACUAGUAAAGUUACUGUUAUUUCUUUCCAUCCUACUAAAUGCUGCGUAAAAACAGUGUCUAUCAGAUCCAAGCGACGAAACAUGUCUAAUAGAAUUAAGCAAAUCAUUACAAGACCCAAACAAAUCACUCUACAACUGGAACGAACAAACCUUCGCUAAACCCUGCAACGAAUCAACCUCAAACCGCCGGCGACUUUUCUGUCAACUGCCAGCACAACCGUAACACCACCUCUGCCGCAACAACAAUCACCAACAUCCGCCUAAAUCCGCCAACACCACCUUCAACCGCGAUUCACUCCACAACCUCCCGCCGAUGCCGACACAAUAACAAACAGAAACGGCUUACGAACAUAGUAACAAAAAAAUUGAAGCGAAGAAAUUGAACAAAAAUACAAGCGGAACUCAACUUGAUAGCCACUACAACAACAAGUUCCGCAUGCCGACGGAAUUUGACGAGAUCUACACCUCAUGGUUCAGCCAUGACCUUCCCAAUCACCGCCGCCGGCCUCCGCAUCAUGCUUCACCGUUGUUUAAAAUCUCAACUCGCGUUCCUCCGACCAGUAAUCUUCAUCAUUUACUUCAUACUCCGUUGAUACAUAUGGUUGAUGUUUGAGUUAUCUGCUGUUACGUUGUUUUGAAAAUAUUGUUUUUUUAAAAAAUGAUUUGUUUUAGGAAAGGGAACGAUUCAUGAGGUGAGGAAGUGAUUAUGAGAAAAUCACUUUUGAGUAAGAUAAUUUACUCUCUUUUUUUACUGUAUGGUUUUGAUUUCUUUUAUUUUGAUUAAUUAUUCUAUACAUAUUGGUCUUGUUUUUUAUGGUUGGAAAAGUUAACAUCUGUUCUUGUUUUUUAUUUUAUGAAAGGAUUUGUAUUAAGUGAAGGGGGGCGUCUCUCUCUCCUAAAUAUGUUUUUGUGUGUUACUCAUUUAAUUAAACUCAAACUAGUGUAAUUCUCAUAGAUAAAGGUUAGAAUUGGGUUGGGCUUGGUCCCUCUAUUAUUAUUAUUACACAUAUUUUAUUUCAGCAUAUUUGCA